UAGAGUUUGAUCCUGGCUCAGGAUGAACGCUAGCUACAGGCUUAACACAUGCAAGUCGAGGGGCAGCAUGGUCUUAGCUUGCUAAGGCCGAUGGCGACCGGCGCACGGGUGAGUAACACGUAUCCAACCUGCCGUCUACUCUUGGACAGCCUUCUGAAAGGAAGAUUAAUACAAGAUGGCAUCAUGAGUCCGCAUGUUCACAUGAUUAAAGGUAUUCCGGUAGACGAUGGGGAUGCGUUCCAUUAGAUAGUAGGCGGGGUAACGGCCCACCUAGUCUUCGAUGGAUAGGGGUUCUGAGAGGAAGGUCCCCCACAUUGGAACUGAGACACGGUCCAAACUCCUACGGGAGGCAGCAGUGAGGAAUAUUGGUCAAUGGGCGAGAGCCUGAACCAGCCAAGUAGCGUGAAGGAUGACUGCCCUAUGGGUUGUAAACUUCUUUUAUAAAGGAAUAAAGUCGGGUAUGGAUACCCGUUUGCAUGUACUUUAUGAAUAAGGAUCGGCUAACUCCGUGCCAGCAGCCGCGGUAAUACGGAGGAUCCGAGCGUUAUCCGGAUUUAUUGGGUUUAAAGGGAGCGUAGAUGGAUGUUUAAGUCAGUUGUGAAAGUUUGCGGCUCAACCGUAAAAUUGCAGUUGAUACUGGAUAUCUUGAGUGCAGUUGAGGCAGGCGGAAUUCGUGGUGUAGCGGUGAAAUGCUUAGAUAUCACGAAGAACUCCGAUUGCGAAGGCAGCCUGCUAAGCUGCAACUGACAUUGAGGCUCGAAAGUGUGGGUAUCAAACAGGAUUAGAUACCCUGGUAGUCCACACGGUAAACGAUGAAUACUCGCUGUUUGCGAUAUACUGCAAGCGGCCAAGCGAAAGCGUUAAGUAUUCCACCUGGGGAGUACGCCGGCAACGGUGAAACUCAAAGGAAUUGACGGGGGCCCGCACAAGCGGAGGAACAUGUGGUUUAAUUCGAUGAUACGCGAGGAACCUUACCCGGGCUUAAAUUGCAGAUGAAUUACGGUGAAAGCCGUAAGCCGCAAGGCAUCUGUGAAGGUGCUGCAUGGUUGUCGUCAGCUCGUGCCGUGAGGUGUCGGCUUAAGUGCCAUAACGAGCGCAACCCUUGUUGUCAGUUACUAACAGGUUCCGCUGAGGACUCUGACAAGACUGCCAUCGUAAGAUGUGAGGAAGGUGGGGAUGACGUCAAAUCAGCACGGCCCUUACGUCCGGGGCUACACACGUGUUACAAUGGGGGGUACAGAGGGCCGCUACCACGCGAGUGGAUGCCAAUCCCCAAAACCUCUCUCAGUUCGGACUGGAGUCUGCAACCCGACUCCACGAAGCUGGAUUCGCUAGUAAUCGCGCAUCAGCCACGGCGCGGUGAAUACGUUCCCGGGCCUUGUACACACCGCCCGUCAAGCCAUGGGAGCCGGGGGUACCUGAAGUGCGUAACCGCGAGGAGCGCCCUAGGGUAAAACUGGUGACUGGGGCUAAGUCGUAACAAGGUAGCCG
rnacentral:rRNA from 1 species